rnacentral:lncRNA from 1 species
GGAGGUGAUGGGUUCCCCCGAAGCUGGCUGUGAUGACUCACUCUGCUCAGUUUGCUCUGCAACAUGUGGGAUGACUAGUGGUGUAUGAGGUACUACCGCUAAUGGUCCUGUUGCUCCUGAUUUUCUCCCAUAAAGAGGAUUAUUGACAUCCUAAAUUUUGGAAGCUGCAGUUAUCUUAGAUGCCUCUACCGAUUUUUCC